rnacentral:piRNA from 1 species
UGACAUGUUGGUCGUUUGUUAUCUGGUCUC